rnacentral:sRNA from 1 species
GAGCUCCAUCCAAAUCGCCUUUGAGGAGGUGCCCCAAGUCCCACCCAGAGCCAGCAUCAGUCAUGUGACCUGCGUAGACCAAUCUGAGCAUACCAUGGUGCUGCGUUGCCAGCUCUCUGCUGAUGAGGUGCGGUUCCCAGUCUCUGUGACCCAGCAGUCCCCCGCUGCCGUCUCCAUGGAGACCUACCACGUCACUCUGACACUGCCACCAACACAGUUGGAAGUCAACCUGGAGGAAAUCCCUGGUGAGGGGCUGCUCAUAUCCUGGGCCUUCACUGAUCGCCCAGAUCUCAGCCUAACGGUGCUUCCCAAGCUUCAGGCCAGGGAGAGAGGUGAAGAACAAGUAGAGCUCUCCACAAUUGAGGAACUGAUCAAGGAUGCCAUAGUCAGCACUCAGCCAGCCAUGAUGGUCAACCUCAGGGCUUGCUCUGCCCCAGGAGGCCUGGUACCCAGUGAGAAGCCACCCAUGAUGCCCCAGGCUCAACCAGCCAUCCCCAGACCUAACCGGUUAUUCCUACGGCAGCUUCGGGCAUCUCACUUGGGAAAUGAGCUGGAAGGCACUGAGGAACUGUGCUGUGUAGCUGAACUUGACAACCCCAUGCAACAGAAGUGGACCAAGCCCACGAGGGCUGGAUCCGAGGUGGAGUGGACAGAAGACCUGGCACUGGAUCUGGGCCCCCAGAGCCGGGAGCUGACCCUCAAAGUGCUGAGGAGCAGCAGCUGUGGAGACAGUGGAGGUGACUGAGAAGACGACAACUGUGCUGAGUGACAGCAGUGGCCCCAGCAAUACCUCCCAUAGCAGCAGCCGGGACAGCCACCUUUCCAACGGCUUGGACCCUGUAGCAGAGACAGCGAUUCGCCAGCUGACAGAGCCCAGUGGGCGGGUGGCCAAGAAGACACCCACCAAGCGCAGCACUCUCAUCAUCUCUGGUGUUUCCAAGGUAACAGGGCUCUGGGGAGAGGAGCUGGGAUGGGGAGAAAGCCCUAAUGGGUCGGUCACUCCUGCCCAUUAAAACCCGUCCCUCCUGCCAGGUGCCCAUUGCUCAGGACGAGUUGGCGCUAUCCCUGGGCUAUGCGGCAUCCCUGG